rnacentral:rRNA from 1 species
AGUGAACGCUGGCGGUAGGCCUAACACAUGCAAGUCGAACGGCAGCACAGUAAGAGCUUGCUCUUACGGGUGGCGAGUGGCGGACGGGUGAGGAAUACAUCGGAAUCUACUUUUUCGUGGGGGAUAACGUAGGGAAACUUACGCUAAUACCGCAUACGACCUACGGGUGAAAGCAGUGGAUCUUCGGACCUUGCGCGAUUGAAUGAGCCGAUGUCGGAUUAGCUAGUUGGCCGGGUAAAGGCCCACCAAGGCGACGAUCCGUAGCUGGUCUGAGAGGAUGAUCAGCCACACUGGAACUUGGACACGGUCCAGACUCCUACGGGAGGCAGCAGUGGGGAAUAUUGGGCAAUGGGCGCAAGCAUGAUCCAGCCAUACCGCGUGGGUGAAGAAGGCCUUCGGGUUGUAAAGCCCUUUUGUUGGGAAAGAAAAGCAGCAGGUUAAUACCCCGCUGUUCUGACGGUACCCAAAGAAUAAGCACCGGCUAACUUCGUG